rnacentral:rRNA from 2 species
UGGCGAACGGGUGAGUAACAUAUCGGAACGUACCGAGUAAUGGGGGAUAACUAAUCGAAAGAUUAGCUAAUACCGCAUAUUCUCUGAGGAGGAAAGCAGGGGACCUUCGGGCCUUGCGUUAUUCGAGCGGCCGAUAUCUGAUUAGCUAGUUGGUGGGGUAAAGGCCUACCAAGGCGACGAUCAGUAGCGGGUCUGAGAGGAUGAUCCGCCACACUGGGACUGAGACACGGCCCAG